CCGCCUUCCCCUCCGUCGCCUGCGACUGGUUGUCGCGGACGUGGACCGCUAGCUCGCGCGCCCUCAACCUCCUUCCACGUCUGCACUCUUUAAUGUGGCCGGUGGUUGGGGCAACUGGAAGAAUUCCUCUGUUGUCUCACCUUCAAUGCCGACACGGGAGGAGCUCGAGGCACAUCGCCAGGGUCGUGGGGAUGGGGAGCUGUCCCGUCUGCCUCACCGGGCGGCUUUGCCUUCAUCGCGCCCCGCAUUGCAGCCCGGUUAACGGCCCCUCCCUCUUGGCUUAAAGGGAGGUGCUUUCGUUGCUACUCCAAGCACCACCUCGCGUGAGACUACAGAGACCCAAUCAGGUGCACCCUCUGCCUCCGCUGUGGUCAGCAUGCUCGCUACUGCCGGCGAUGCCUUGUGCCCCUUCCUAGCGACAGCAACUUCGACACCUCGCCUGCCACGCCCGCACCUGCUACUUCUGUCGCACCCACAGCCGCUCCUGCAGGUCGGACCUGAAGUUCGUGGUGGAACGCCUAUCUGCACCUUAUUUGGAGGUAGCCUAUCUGCACCUUAUUUGGAGGUACAGAGCCUCCUAUGUCCAUCUUCCUCAUCCCGUCCCUCUCCAAAUCCGCUCGGGCAUCAUAUCAGUGGCUGAUGGACUUCUCGGCCCUGGAGUUAGGAUUGCUACAGCUUGGUGCAUAGAGUUUCUGGUGAUCUGAAGUGAAGAAAAGAACACGGGGACCAGCAGCGUGCUGUUGGGGAGUGGGAGCAUGAGAAGAGCAGGCAGAAUCAGCAACACUCCUCCCAAAAAUGCAAUUGUAGUGCAUUUCUCCUUAUCUUCCUCAUGAGGUUCACGACAUCACCACCUAGCUAAGUUGAAGAGAAUCAUCCUCUUUCCAAGUGAACACAUUAGUUUAAGUUUCUUUGUUGGGAAAAUCUACGGAAAAGCGCCGCACUGAUCACUCUCCCGUGCGGCGGCUUCGCGCAUCGUUUCCCUAUAGGAACGAAAGAAGACACGCGACACACUUAUCCCCACCGAGAGCAUUUCUGGCCACACACGCACGCCUCACCUAAUCCCUUAACCGCUCCUGGCCAGAGCAGCUCGCAAGGUCGCCGCCGAGCGCCGCCGCGGGGAGGUGGUCGACGAGCGCUGCCGCGGGGAGGCUGCCGCCAAGCACCCCCGCCGAGCACCGCCGUGGGGAGCCGGUCGACGAGCGCCGCCGCGGGUCGGCUGCCGCCAAGCACCUCCGCCUAGCCGUGGGGAGGCGACCGCCGAGCGUCGCCGUGGCCCGUUGGGAGGCUGCCGCCAAGCACCCCCGCCGAGCACUACCAUGGGGAGGCGUCCGUCGAGCACCACCGUCUGGAGGUGGAUGAAUGCUGCCGGGAGACUUGAGAGGAGGCUGCUGUCGCCCCGAGGGAGGUAGACGAACACCUGCGCGGCUGCACUCCAUGGGAGGGCCAUUUUUCUCUCCUCUCCUCAAUGGGCUUGUGCGCCUUAUCGUUCCAGGCUGGCCAUCCUCGUCGUGAAGCCGGUGAGCGGUGAGGCAGAGGAUAGAGGAUGUGUGCAGAAGUGGAGAUAGACCAGGUGAAGACAAUGGGGCAGUGGCUGGCGUAAUUGCCAUUAGUUUAGUAAUAAUUUCCGGAUGAAUUAGUACUGUAGCAACUACCUGAUUAAUUAUUAGUAAUUGCCAGAUUAAUUAGUGGGACUUUCCUGAUUAGUUAGAUCAUAGUUGACAGAUUAAUUCUUAGUAGUUGCCGGAUUAACUAGGGCUACUGUUUUUCACUUGUGACUUCACGUUGGUAUAAUAGUUAAUCUGGUAAUUGGGUAAAAUUUAUCUGGCAACUAUUCUAGUUAAUUUAGCAAUUAUUUUUUAUCGGUAAUGAACUGAUGGUGAUUAGGAAAACAAUUAGUUGAAGCUAGCAGCAGCAGCGACAAGCUUGGCUGCAUCUGCCUUUCUUCUUUUGGCUUGCAGCGACCCAGAGUGCUACUUGCUGUUUGCUAAAUAACAGAGGAGCGGGUAGUCUCAGUGUUGCAUGUGCGCUUUGUGGGGCCAAGGGAAUCCGCCGCACGUAUUAAGCACUUGUGCGGCGCCGCCGGGUAGUGCAAUCCUUCUUUGUUUCACAAGGAUUCAUGAGAAUAUGAAUGUUUCAGUUUGAAGUGAUAAUUAAUUGGGGUCGCACAAAAAUGUAAUUCCAGGAAUGAUCUGCGCAUUGAAAUCAUGAAGAACAUGGGAUACCUCGAGUUGAUCCUUGUGAAACAUAUUGCUGAUGUGUUUCCAGAGCUGCAAAGCCUGAAAUACACGAUUCACCAUUUCAUGUUUUCGGUGUUGGCCCUCAGUCCAGCGCACGGGCUCGCCGUCCGCCCGCUCCGGUAGCACCGAAUUCUUCACAGCCUCACCAUGGAAGGUGCCAAUAGCAUGCGACAACGUUGGACCAUGAUUACCAUCUCUCAGGCAGCUUUAAUUUGGUUGCAUGCAUCUGUUUCUUUGAUACUCAUAGAAGGAAA